CCUACGGGAGGCUGCAGUGAGGAAUAUUGGUCAAUGGACGAGAGUCUGAACCAGCCAAGUAGCGUGAAGGAUGACUGCCCUAUGGGUUGUAAACUUCUUUUAUAUGGGAAUAAAACGUUCCACGUGUGGGAUUUUGUAUGUACCAUAUGAAUAAGGAUCGGCUAACUCCGUGCCAGCAGCCGCGGUAAUACGGAGGAUCCGAGCGUUAUCCGGAUUUAUUGGGUUUAAAGGGAGCGUAGGUGGAUUGUUAAGUCAGUUGUGAAAGUUUGCAGCUCAACCGUAAAAUUGCAGUUGAAACUGGCAGUCUUGAGUACAGUAGAGGUGGGCGGAAUUCGUGGUGUAGCGGUGAAAUGCUUAGAUAUCACGAAGAACUCCGAUUGCGAAGGCAGUUCACUGGACUGCAACUGACACUGAGGCUCGAAAGUGUGGGUAUCAAACAGGAUUAGAUACCCUGGUAGUC
rnacentral:rRNA from 1 species